UACAGAGGUCUCAAGCGUUGUUCGGAUUCAUUGGGCGUAAAGCGUGCGCAGGCGGUUUUGUAAGCCAGAUGUGAAAGCCCCGGGCUUAACCUGGGAAUGGCAUUUGGGACUGCAAGGCUUGAGUGCGGCAGAGGAGACUGGAAUUCCUGGUGUAGCAGUGAAAUGCGUAGAUAUCAGGAGGAAUACCGAUGGCGAAGGCAGGUCUCUGGGCUGACACUGACGCUCAUGCACGAAAGCGUGGGGAGCAAACAGG
rnacentral:rRNA from 1 species